rnacentral:misc_RNA from 1 species
AAUAAGAGCUACCUAAAAAAAGAAGUGAGAGUCGUCAACCAUCAUGUCAUGAAUGGCGAACGGAAAAGUGAUUUUAGUUUGUUGUCUUCUAUUCAGUUGAAUAUCCGCUUUCGAAUAACGAUGUGAUUAGCUUAACACUUCAAAAUGUGGCUUAGUUAAUUCUUGAAAAUUAUCUCGAUAAUUUGAAGCUCGGAAGUGCAGUUACAGUGUGUCUACUCACAGAAAACAUCAUCAUAAUGUCAACUUCUUCAAGCGGUGUCAUGAUGCACUCUGCUAACGGGAAGCAACAAAAAAUAGAACAAAAAGUUGGAGGACCCACAAAGAUGCCGAACUCGACAGGAACAGCUGGUCCAGGCACUGCCGCUGGCAUCGGAGAUAAACAUGAAUCGUGGCAGAUGGAACUUUUAAUGGAGCGGCUACGGAGUAAGGCCAAAUCAUCGCAUUACAAGUCAUUUCCAGAAAUGUCCAAAACGGUUCGAAUGUCUUUGCUGGAGAAACGAUAUGCAUUGGAUGUCGUGGAAAAAUCGAAUCUGCAAAAAACAUUGGACAGCAUGCAGUAUUGUAUUAAAGUAACUUCACGUCAAGGAUUAGUUGAACGAUUAGACUGUUUGACAAGGCAACUCGGACUGAAGCUGAGUGAGGAUACGUCAGGUCUUUUUAUUUCUUCCGAUAUGUUCUAUCUGGAAAUCAUUCUUGACCAAAACGGAAAGGUGCAAGAUGUAAAGGUUCAUCAUGAGUGUAAAAUGAAGCAACAGAGUUGCAGUGAACUUGUUUCUUGUCUACAACGAGGAGAUUUUGUGGAUUUUACAACACAGCUGGAAGGUCUUGCUUCGAUAUACCAAUUGAAUGCUGAAAAGAAGAUCAAACUGAAUGCUUUCGUUGCUCUUCAGGCGUUGGAGACUGAUUUAUAUAAUCUUUACUCACUGUCAACACAGCAUUUCAAUGACAUUCAUUCAUUACUUCUAAAGUCGCCCCUUGGUGUUGCUCAAAAGCGAAGAGGUGGUCAUGCAAUGAAACUAUCCUAUUUCGUGACACCUUAUGACCUGCUCGAUCUAGAAGCAAGAAUGAUGAAACCCCUUAAUGUUGAUCUAAUACUGUCAGAAAAAAUUGGAUGCAGUGUUGCAGUCAAUUUGGAAGCAUCAACUGCUAAUAAGCUGCAGAUUCAACCACUUCUAGUUCAACAAGGAAAUUCUCCAGUUUACAGUCCAAUAGAAAAGCACAACUCUACUUCGUUACCGGCCACUUUUGUUUUAAAACUUAACAAACCGAUGGCCCUAAAUGUUAAGAUGUUCAAGCAAAUUAAAAUCAUAACGGGCGAAAGCUCAAGUGGAAUUAUUGAUUUAGAAAAUUCGUCAAGUUUAAUACGAUUGAUUGUUGAAUAUGCAUCAACCGGUGCAGCUAAUAACAUCGCUAAGGGACUGUUCGUUACACUGCCUGACCAACAUCAUUGUUACUACAUGAAUGAAAACAAAAAUCUCGAGGGUAUCGUUGUAAGCAGCAUUCCAUUCACCGAGCCACAGCACGUUUCUAAAAUAUUAGUGUUUUUGCGACAACAAGCGCUGUUCAACCAACUGCUUUCCAGUUGCAUUCGAAAUAAUAGCUCAACCAACACUCGAACCACUGAUCAUGACCAGCUUUUAGUGUUUGAAGUCACGGCAUUAUCCUGUCAGUACAUCACGAUAUCACUUGAGCAUCCUUUCGACGAAUCUUUGGCCAUGGUAGAGUUUGACUUGAGAAAUUCAUUGGCAAUACAAGUACGUGUGUUCUGCAACGGUUAUGAAAGUGAUGAGCGCAUCUCGAAACAUAUAUCAAUUGUCGUGCAACGUACGAUGUCAAUUCCAGUUACACUGAGAGCAUUGAUCAAGAUUUGGGAAGAGGACUUUGAAGCCAAAUUCAAAGGCAAGCUUAGUUCGAAUGCUGGAGGAAAUGGAUGCAUCGAUGAAGUAAAUUUUAGUUUGCCUAUGGGCCCAGAUGAUGGUGGUGGGAGUGGGCCAGGUGGAGGAGGCGGUGGCAAUGGUCUUGGAAUGAAUGGUCAACACACUACCGGCAUUAACGGAAGUGGUUCCAGCCAUCAAGAGUUUGUAGAUGCUAAGAAGAUCAAGUAUGAAACCCAAGAUCUAUCUAAAAAACGACGUGUUGGAGAGGAUUUUCGAAACAGCCCAAAGAGUAAUAAUAUGGAAAAAUCGCUCAAGAGCGAAGUGAAUGUAGCAGAUGAUGAUGAUUGUGACGAGUCGAACAACAGUGACUCGUAUAACUCUUUGGGUGGAAAUCAAACAACAACAACAACACAACAUGUAUCAUCAUCGUCAGCAUCAAAAUCGUCAUCGGGAAAACAUACUCCCACAUCACCGUUUGCAUUGGGUAUUGGAGAAGACGGAUUUCGAAACAAGUUUACAGGAAAAUGAACAGUCUUAACUCAAGUCCUGAUACGAUUCUCAAAAAUUCUGAGACAACUGAUUGUUUAGAACCCACUAAAGCAAUCAAUCAGACGUCGGCGUCAAACCCAGAAGACAGUAAUUUGACUGUGAGUGUUACGACGAUAGAAGUGGGAAAGCAGAACAUGUCUUCAAGCUCCGUUCUCAGUAACAUAAAUUUAGAUAAACGACCUGGUAUAGAAAUUAUACCAUUAUCGACUUCAGCCACCAGUAUACCAUCUUCAAUCACAAUAACACCUAUACCGGUAGAAAACUGUGCGGGGCCUUCUAAAAAUAGCAGUAGUGAUAAAAGCUUAGUGGAAGCAGCAGCUCUAGUAGCAGUUCAAACCGCAAGAAUAGCGACAGCAAAACUGAAUCGGAUAGAGCAAAGCUCGAAAAGAAGAAAAAACGAAAGCAUGAAGAGCAUCAAUCUCAACUGCAAAUGGGACCACCGCAUAAAAUUCUAUCCAAAAAUGUAUCUACCGAUGGGCCAACAUCGCCAUCUGGAGGAAGCCGAAGAAUUUCUAUCUCUCCCGUACCACCAAAAAGUGGUAGCUCAUCGAGUCCGAGGCACUCACCAGUGCAUCACAGCAGCCCCAAACAUCAGGGAAGCUAUGGAACUUCGUCGCCAAAACAUAUUUCCGGUGGUAGUUCUGGUGGUGGAAAGCCAAGCAUGUCGGCUCUGAAGUCUGCUGCUAGUGGUGGAUCUCCAAAUUCUAAAUCAUCCUCAGGAAGUAGUACAGGCAAAGAUGAAGGUUCUGGAGUAUUUUCCACGGGAAACACGAGCAAGAGCAGCAGUAGUAGUGGUUCCUCUUCAUCUAGGGAUCGAGAUCGUGACCGCGAACGAAGUGAUAAAAAAUCCGUCUCUAAUCCAAAACUUAAAACACCAGCGGUUAAAUUGAAACAGUUAGACUUGGCAACUUGUGGGGCUUCACUAAGUGCUGGAGUGCAACUUGAGCUCAUAAAUAGUAACAGUAGCGGAGGAAGCAGUACUGGAAGCAGCAGCAUAGAUUAUACUGACAACAGUUUAUUUGCGUCAUCAGACAUGUCCAAAAAUUCAUCAGUGGCAGCUGCUUCAACGGCCGGCAUGCUCCUGUUACAGCAGGCAAUGAAGAACCGGAAAAGCUCUCUCAGCGCUGUGAUUGAUAAGCUCAAAUCAGCACAAAGUGGCGAUGAAAGCUCAUUGAUGUUAUUGCCCGAACUAGCUCAGCAAGCAGGUUUCACGUUAAAGGAAUCAUCUGGCUCAAACAAAGUUGCCUCAUCAUCAAGCGCCAGCCCAACAACUAUGGUUUCAAACAUCCAUGGUCAUACUUCCUCAUCAGCGUCAGCAACAGGAGCAUCCUCAUUGACCAACACAGUUGCUGCUUUGGAUACUCAGUUGUCGUCAACGACCUCUCCUGUCCAUGGAAAAAGCUCCGAAUAUUUGGUAAAGCCAAGUUCAGAUGGAAUGAAGUUAACAAUCCAAAACAAAAAAGGAUCAAAAAGCAGUCUUUCUUCAUCAUCUACAAACUCAAAAAGUAGCUCAAAGUCUGGUCUAAAGCCGGGAGUAUCCAGUGGACCAGGUUCCAAAAAAUUACAGAGCUCUCAAAGUUUCAGUGGAAGUUUUUCCUCUGUUUCAAGCAGUAGCAGCAAAUCAGGAUCAUCCACAAAAUCAUCAUUUCAAAAGUCAAACUCCUCCAGUUCACUGUCAAAUUCUAGUGGAUCGCUCAAAUCAUCAUCGAAGUCUGGGUCAAGUUCUUCUUCGAGUGGUAGUAGCAGCAAGGAUAAAGCAAGAAAUAGUUCCAAAUCAUCUUCUUUGAUUUCAUCUAAUGCUAUGACCCUUGCAUCACAAGCAGCUGCCAAUGCAGCUGUAAAUGCAAAUGCAUUGAACGUUAUGAAAAUGCUCGGAAUAACUUCGUCCAUUCAAAAUAUGGAGGGAUUCGUCAAAACUUUGGAUACCAAAUUUCAAAUUCCCAAACUAUCGGCAAGGUCAGCAUCGAGCGGAAAUGACUUGGAUAAAAUUAAAGAAUUGAGAGCAGUAUCUGCUCCAACUACUCCGCUGCAGAAUAUGAGUCAAUCACCAACUGGAAUCAACGACUUUUCUUUGCCUUUCAAUAAACUACCAGGAGAUGUUUCUCCAUUACAUUCUGCAAUGCUACCAAAUGUCAUGCAAAAAAUGUUUGCCGGACACGACAAUGCGAUGUUACUUCGAAGAUCACCAAAUUUAGAGCACCAAGCUAGCAACGAUGGAUUCCCAUCCCAACACGGUAAAGGAUCAACGCCACCUACUCCAACAAUAUCAAUUCCACCACCUUUUCCAUCACCGGUGGGACUUCAGAGUCAUGCAAUGGAUUUUUCCAACAGCAGCGAUUCUAUAGACAAUAGUAAUCUUAUGCUUCCACCAACAAGACCAAGCAGCACCAUGUCGAACCAUAGCUCAUCUGACAAACUCAUCGAUGCUACCGGAGGUAACAACUCCAUGGACAGCUUUUCGAGCUCACCUUCAGCACAAGCUAUAGCAGCCGCCGCCGCUCAAUUCAUCAACAAGCUUGAUAAUACUCAACAACUUGUGGCGGCAUUGAAAAAUCAUCAUUUAAACGCUUUGAGCAAUGCUGCUGCAGCCGCCGCAUGUAGUUCUGUGGGAUCUGGAUCUGUUACCUCUCCAACAUCGGUAUCUGUGCACAUCAUGAAAUCUCCUGCUCCGAGCCCACUAGGAAUGCCUGGAAAUAGCGUUGACGAUGAUCUAAUGGACGAUACGCUAGUUCAAAUUGGAGGAAAAUGACAAUAUAGCUUCUCUGUCUACUUUUAAGUUUGUAAAUAUAGGUAUCAAUCGGUUUGGCUUAGUUCUAAUUUUUAUUAGUUAAUAUACAUAAUUUUAAAACAGGCCAUUUUGAAUACUGUAUAUCCUGGCUGCAAACAACAUAUUCAAAGUUUUGCAUAAGUUUGACAUACCAUGUCAGAAAAAAUAAAGUGAUGUAUACUUCAGUUUUCUGUUUUUGCUUGUCAAGGCAAUAGGAUGGCGAUGAAAUGGAAGAAAAUAAAAGCUGCAUUAUUCUUCGAAGAAUUAAAUGGAAAAUUUGUAAAAAAAAAAGCGGUACAAUCAAUUUAAAUCACCAUUUUUGCAGUAUGCGCGGUAAUUCAAAACUUAAAAAAGUCUGAAAGUGUCUUCUAUUAUUUUUCUCAGCAACAAACAUGUUUUAGGUAUUAUAAAUUAACGUUUUGGAAGAUUCAUUGUUUUGAAAAACAUAAGCCAAGAUAAAGAAGCGUAGCAAAACAAUAAGUCUAAAAUUGAUUGUUACAUUUUUUUUUCGAUUCAGCAAACGUAAUUCUUAAUUGAGAUUAAAAAAAGCUUAAAAUAUAAGUUAAUAAACAGUAAAAAAAUAACAUUGUAGGAUCAAAAAAAUAUAUUUAAUUUCUGAAACACCUAAUAAAGACCACAAUUUAGAAAAAUA